rnacentral:rRNA from 1 species
UACGGAGGGAGCUAGCGUUAUUCGGAAUUACUGGGCGUAAAGCGUACGUAGGCGGCUUUGCAAGUUAGAGGUGAAAGCCUGGAGCUCAACUCCAGAACUGCCUUUAAAACUGCAUCGCUUGAAUCCAGGAGAGGUGAGUGGAAUUCCGAGUGUAGAGGUGAAAUUCGUAGAUAUUCGGAAGAACACCAGUGGCGAAGGCGGCUCACUGGACUGGUAUUGACGCUGAGGUACGAAAGCGUGUGGAGCAAACAGG